CCAGUUGAUAAGCAUGGUACGAGCAGUGAAACAAACCCCGAAGGCGACAAGAAAUCUCUCAUUGCCGCAUGCUGAUUUUUGACAGCUGUACAAAGCAAGAAAAGUCACAAUAAUAUUGUAUAGCUGAAUGCAUAAAAAGAAGAAGAAACUGCGUAGCGAGCAAGCUCAUUGUGCGUGUUCUGCGCAUAGAAGAAGGAAACUCCAAACUAGUAUAUACAGACCAGUUGCAUCUAAUAUGGAGAAUUUAGCUUCUAAGUUAGUAGACUGGACACGCCUUACCCUCUUGAUAAUUUGCUGUUCCUACUGUGGAGGUAACUAUAUGAAAACCUACUCUUAUGAUAAAAGCCUCAACUUUCUAAAGGUACUCAACACAUCGGAACCACUGUUCUUGUUUCUCUGGAAGCCUAAAAUUCCUCCAAACAGAACAUGCAAAGGUUAUGACUGCAUGAAUCGCACUGUAACCUGUGAGCACAUGCGAAAAAUGGAGCUGGACAAAUAUGAAUACAAUCAUACUGUGUCGAAGCUUACAACAAAUGGGACUUGGUUCAGCGAAGCUUUAAACGGAAGAUUUGUGGGGUACACUGGGUCACCCACUAAAAUGAAUGUCUACAACGCUACGCUUCUCUCCCUUCCGCGACUCGACGACCCUUCUUAUAGCCCCCAUUCUGUAACUCCAAUACAUGACCACUUGUCUGCUGCGCACAUUACCUGGCCUGCAAAGUCAAAUUUCUGCCUUCGAAUGUAAACUAGAAUAAAGCCUACUCUAAUUCCAUCUGUAAUCGACACUACUGUUUUCAUGCAUCUGUACUCGCCGUGGUGGCCUAGCGGCUAGGGCAUUGCGCUGUGAAGCUCGUGGUCGCAGGAUCAAAUCACGGCUGCAGCCGCCGCAUUGCAAUGGAGGCGAAAAGUAAAAACACCCACGUUCUGUGCUUUGGGUGCACGUUACAGUUCCCCAGGCGGCCAAAACAUUGCGGCGUCCCCCGCUACGGCGUGCCUCGCAACCAGAUCGUGGUUUUGGCGCGUAAAACCUUAGAAUACAUUUUGAAUGUCUCUGUACAUUAGGCCUAAAAGUAAGGGCGGGUGCGAGAGAGUAAAUGUAGGGGCUUUUGCUCAUUGAAUAUCUAACUUUGCCUAGGUACUGCGAAGUGGUGGCGAGGAGCAGAGGUAGAACACCCGGCUUCUAAUCUGAAGGUCGUAAAUUCGAAUCCUCCUCCAGUCCGCUACAUUUUCAGGCAUGGAGUGGCGC